rnacentral:rRNA from 1 species
AGGGUUCGAUUCUGGCUCAGGAUGAACGCUAGCGACAGGCUUAACACAUGCAAGUCGAGGGGCAGCAUAAAAGUAGCAAUACUUGGUGGCGACCGGCGCACGGGUGAGUAACGCGUAUGCAACCUACCUAUCAGAGGGGAAUAACCCGGCGAAAGUCGGACUAAUACCGCAUAAAACAGGGACACCGCAUGGUGAUAUUUGUUAAAGAAAUUCGCUGAUAGAUGGGCAUGCGUUCCAUUAGGUAGUUGGUGAGGUAACGGCUCACCAAGCCGACGAUGGAUAGGGGAACUGAGAGGUUGGUCCCCCACACUGGUACUGAGACACGGACCAGACUCCUACGGGAGGCAGCAGUGAGGAAUAUUGGUCAAUGGGCGAGAGCCUGAACCAGCCAAGUCGCCGUGAAGGAAGAAGGAUCUAUGGUUCGUAAACUUCUUUUGCAGGGGAAUAAAGUGCAGGACGUGUCCUGUUUUGUAUGUACCCUGAGAAUAAGGAUCGGCUAACUCCGUGCCAGCAGCGGC